UACGAAGGGGGCUAGCGUUGUUCGGAAUUACUGGGCGUAAAGCGCACGUAGGCGGAUCGAUCAGUCAGGGGUGAAAUCCCAGGGCUCAACCCUGGAACUGCCUUUGAUACUGUCGAUCUGGAGUAUGGAAGAGGUGAGUGGAACUGCGAGUGUAGAGGUGAAAUUCGUAGAUAUUCGCAAGAACACCAGUGGCGAAGGCGGCCAACUGGUCCGGUACUGACGCUGAGGUGCGAAAGCGUGGGGAGCAAACAGG
rnacentral:rRNA from 1 species